rnacentral:rRNA from 1 species
AAAACUUUCAACAACGGAUCUCUUGGUUCUGGCAUCGAUGAAGAACGCAGCGAAAUGCGAUACGUAAUGUGAAUUGCAGAAUUCCGUGAAUCAUCGAAUCUUUGAACGCACAUUGCACCCGGUGGUAUUCCGCCGGGUAUGCCUGUCUGAGCGUCAUUUCUACCCUCAAGCCCCCUAAAAAGAGCUUGGUGUUGGCGGAUUGCCCUCCCACUGCGGCAACCGCUGAAAUCGAAUGGCGGUAGCACACUCUGUUCCCUGUACAGUAACAAUUUCUUACAGCGGUCAUAGUGGACUUUACCGGCCCAAGACGCCCCAACUUAGCAAAAGUUGACCUCAGAUCAGGUAGGAAUACCCGCUGAACUUAAGCAUAUCAAUAAGCGGAGGAAAAGAAACCAACAGGGAUUGCCUCAGUAACGGCGAGUGAAGCGGCAACAGUCCAAAUUUGAAAUCUGGCCCCCUCCGGGGUCCGAGUUGUAAUUUGCAGAGGAUGCUUUUGGCGAGGUGCCUUCCGAGUUCCCUGGAACGGGACGCCAUAGAGGGUGAGAGCCCCGUACGGUAGGACCACCGAGCCUCUGUAAAGCUCCUUCGACGAGUCGAGUAGUUUGGGAAUGCUGCUCUAAAUGGGAGGUGUACGUCUUCUAAAGCUAAAUACCGGCCAGAGACCGAUAGCGCACAAGUAGAGUGAUCGAAAGAUGAAAAGCACUUUGAAAAGAGGGUUAAAAAGUACGUGAAAUUGUUGAAAGGGAAGCAUUCAUGACCAGACUUGGGCUUGGUUGAACAUCCGGCGUUCUCGCCGGUGCACUCUGCCAGUCCAGGCCAGCAUCAGUUUGCCCCGGGGGACAAAGGCGGCGGGAAUGUGGCUCUCUACGGGGAGUGUUAUAGCCCGUCGUGUAAUGCCCUGGGGCGGACUGAGGAACGCGCUUCGGCACGGAUGCUGGCGUAAUGGUCAUCAAUGACCCGUCUUGAAACACGGACC